CAGUAGUAUACCGCUGUUCAAAACUCAUAAAUCCAUGGACAAAAAACAAAAUCGGGGUAACAAACUAAAACCGAGGGAAACGCAUUAAAUAUAAGAGGAGAACAACGACAUAGCACCGAAACGUAACACACACAGAAACGGACCAAGCAUCAGACAAAACACCACGAGAAUAACAAAUAUAACAUGAAAACCAAAUACAUGAAUUUGGGAUAGACAAGUACCGUGCCACGUCUUAUCUCAAUUUCUCAAAAAUAAGAGAAAACACAAACGACUCAACGUUAAAAUGCAACACACACAGAAACGAACAAUAAUAUAACAAUGGCCAUCUUCCUGACUUGGUACAGGACACUUUUAAAUGGGAAUAAAAGUGGUGGGUUGAACCUGGUUUUGUGGCAUGCCAAACCUCGCACUUUAAUGGCAAAGUUAAAUAUAACAUUGAAAUGACAACAUAAUAUUACAGGACUACAAUACAAAUUAAUAGGAGAACAUAUUAGACAAAGAAAAACAUGAUUAAUAGAUAACAAAAAGCAUCAGGUUUAAAAUUCAAUACGCCAAAAACGCGCCUUGUCCACACAAGACUUACAAGUGACGCCCAGAUAUAAAAGAUCGAAAGUGAAAAAAGUACAAAGUUGUACAACACU
rnacentral:lncRNA from 1 species